rnacentral:rRNA from 1 species
CCUACGGGUGGCAGCAGUGAGGAAUAUUGGUCAAUGGACGCAAGUCUGAACCAGCCAAGCCGCGUGCAGGAAGACGGCCCUAUGAGUUGUAAACUGCUUUUGUACGGGGGUAAACGCAGAUACGCGUACCUGUUUGAAAGUAUUGUAUGAAUAAGGAUCGGCUAACUCCGUGCCAGCAGCCGCGGUAAUACGGAGGAUUCAAGCGUUAUCCGGAUUUAUUGGGUUUAAAGGGAGCGUAGGUGGUUUGUUAAGUUAGUUGUGAAAGUCCGAGGCUCAACCUCAGAAUUGCAUUUGAUACUGGUAGGCUAGAGUGUAGGUGCGGUAGGCGGAAUGUAUGGUGUAGCGGUGAAAUGCUUAGAGAUCAUGCAGAACACCGAUUGCGAAGGCAGCUUACCAAGCUGCUACUGACAUUGAGGCACGAAAGCGUGGGGAGCAAACAGGAUUAGAUACCCCUGUAGUC